AGUGAACGCUGGCGGCAGGCCUAACACAUGCAAGUCGAACGGCAGCACAGUAAGAGCUUGCUCUUACGGGUGGCGAGUGGCGGACGGGUGAGGAAUACAUCGGAAUCUACUUUUUCGUGGGGGACAACGUAGGGAAACUUACGCUAAUACCGCAUACGACCUACGGGUGAAAGCAGGGGAUCUUCGGACCUUGCGUGAUUGAAUGAGCCGAUGUCGGAUUAGCUAGUUGGCAGGGUAAAGGCCCACCAAGGCGACGAUCCGUAGCUGGUCUGAGAGGAUGAUCGGCCACACUGGAACUGAGACACGGUCCAGACUCCUACGGGAGGCAGCAGUAGGGAAUAUUGGGCAAUGGGCGCAAGCCUGAUCCAGCCAUGCCGCGUGAGUGAAGAAGGCCUUCGGAUUGUAAAGCCCUUUUAUUAGGGAAGAAAAGCAGCGGAUUAAUACCCCGCUGUUCUGACGGUACCCAAAGAGUAAGCACCGGCUAACUACGUG
rnacentral:rRNA from 1 species